rnacentral:rRNA from 1 species
AAUAGCCUAACGGCUGAACCAGCUAUUUGGUGGAAUGUAAUCGUUUUCAACGUGCACAGUAUAUUUUUAAACUGUGUAUCAACUAUGUUGAAUAAAGUUCUGGGUAGGUGACUGAUAAUGACAAUUAUCUACUCACAUAUCUUGACCAAUGCUUGUGCCAGCAGUCGCGGUAACACAAGUAAGAUUAGUGUUAUUCAUCUUUAUUAGGUUUAAAGCGUACCUAGACAGCAUUUCUAACUUCCAAAAAGUAAGGAUUUGCUAGAGUUUUAUAUGAGAGGUAAAUAUUAGAACUAUUGGUGUAAAGAUGAAAUUUUUUGAUACUAAUAGAAUGUAUAACGGCGAAGGCAACCCUCUAUGUACAAACUGACGUUAAAGGACGAAGGCUUGGGGAGCGAAUAGGAUUAGAUACCCUAGUAGUCCAGGCAGAAAAUUAUGAAUGUUAUAUAUUAAAAAGUUGGUGUAUAAAUUAAAGUGUAAGCAUUCCACCUCAAGAGUAGUGUGGCAACACAGGAACUGAAAUCAUUAGACCGUUUCUGAAACCAGUAGUGAAGUAUGUUAUUUAAUUCGAUGACCCUCGAAAAAUCUUACCACAAUUUGAAUAGUAUUUAAAUAAAUCUAUCUUCAGGUUUUUGAUUUGUUUAGAUGCUACAAGCGUUGCACGGCUGUCUAAAGCUAAUGUUGUGAGACUUUGGUUAGAUCCAUUAAAUUAGCGUAACCCCUUCCUUUAUUUAUUAAUAAUGAGGAAAUAGAAUACAUGGAUAAUUAUCCAUGGGGAAGAAGACAAGUCAUCAUGACCUUAAUAUUGUGGGCUAUAGACGUGCCACAUAUAUUUGCACAAAGAGAAAUAAAAAUGCAAAUUUAAAUUAAUCUCUAAAACAAAAUAUAAUAA